rnacentral:lncRNA from 1 species
GUAAAUGCAAUGGUGCUAGGCCUAGGGUGGAUGGUCUAAUCUUUCCAGCAUUGUCGUUUCUUGACAAAUAGGGCCGAAGGUGGUUAGAUCCUCCAUCAUUCAUGUUUUUCUUUGUUUCAUUAGUUAUAAUGUCUCAGCCCUUCUUCCCCUUGGGAUUGGCUCCCACCACCCAUAGUAGCCUCCUUUAGCUGUUAGUGUACGGCUACUCACACAUCUUCACACUGAGUUUUAAGGGGUAACUUUAGAGUAUCUCUUUUCAAAACAGACAGCAAAGGAUCCAAUCGGCCAUCGGUUCAGAGGACCUCUACUCACAACGGUCUCUUUGUUUAAGUGUAAAGUGUUGUUCAAAAUCGACAUGUCAUUGGAAGAGCUUCCAUUGUUCAAAAUUCUAGUGGUUUCUAUCUGUAGCUUUAAUUUUGCUAGCAAACUUCAAGCUAGAAUUCUUACUCUUUGUAUUUUAUUUUAUUUUAUUUUAUUUUUGCUUAAAUCUCACAAUAUUGUUUGUUGUAGGCUGCUGGGUUCUAACAAGAAAUUGAUCAAAAUUAUUGUUGGACACGCUAAAAUAGGAUGAAAACUUCAAUCACGUUAGAUUCCUCCUUCAAUAAGUCAACAUUAAAUACUAACCAGCAAACAACCAUCAGUUAAGAAAAGAGGCGAUAGAGUGAUUUAUAAAUCCUUCCAAAGCUUUUACUGGUUUUUCUUUGCCAUAAUUGUUCUUGAUUUUGUACCACAACAAAAAAAGAAUUAUAUGUUUAGAUAAAUUUUUAUACUAUUUUUGUAAGUAAAAAGUCCCUAGUCUAUCAUUUUUACUCAUAAAAACUCUUGAU